UCCCCGCGGGAGGGACCGGGUGGUAGCUGAGCGCCGGCACCCCUCACGGUUUUUGCAUCGCGCAGGAGCAACGGGAGCUCCGGGUGCUUUCGGGCUCGCUCUGCACCCUCCGAGGUCCCGGCGACUCCGUGAGCGCGGGGGAGCGGGGCGCGACCGUGCAUUCAAAACAGUUACACGCUGUACUUGAUACCUAUCGUUGCGACCGAACUGCCUUUUUCUCUUUUGUUGUCCGCUCUGACGGAGGCGAUGGUGGCAAGGAGGCAAGAGGUGACGACUUAAACGAGGGACUUGUCAGGGGUCCACCGCAGCGAGCAGUUUCCACCCCGAGAUACCUUCUCCCUGCUCCCCCACAUUCCCGCCCCUCAUGCCUGCGCUCCAGAUGACCGCCUGGCAGAGCACCCGAGCGUCCCGCACCUGGGCAGAUACAUCCAGGGCGUUUCACCUAACGCAAAGUAAACUGAAGUGGCUACUUUCAAUGUGUUUUGUGUUUCCUCUUUGGCCAUCUUUAAAUCUGAGUGUGUCCCCUCCCAUCAAAGUGAAGUGCAGCCAAGAACCACGAACCUAGACUUCCGCAUGCAUGGAAACAAGGUGACAGUGCCAGGAUUAUCUUGAUAACAGUGAUCUUUGAUGUUACCAAGGAAACAUCGUUUGGGGCAUGCAUUGGAGAAGAAGACUGCCUAAAGAGCCACUGUGAACAUUUUAGAAUUCAUUUAUUUCAAAUAAUUGCUUCAACCACACUUCUCAGCUGGGGAGUAUGAUAGUCUGUCUCCUAUACGACAAGGACAAGGAAGUGGCCAUCUCUGUUCCCUUAGAUUUGGAAGCUUGUGCCUCCCAGGACAGCCCAGUCCC